GACGAACCGAGCGAACGUUGUUCGGAAUAACUGGGCUUAAAGGGCGCGUAGGCGGGCUGUCAAGUCUGGGGUGAAAUCCCGCGGCUCAACCGCGGAACUGCCUCAGAUACUGACGGCCUCGAGGGAGAUAGGGGCGAGCGGAACGAAUGGUGGAGCGGUGAAAUGCGUUGAUAUCAUUCGGAACUCCGGUGGCGAAGGCGGCUCGCUGGAUCUCUUCUGACGCUGAGGCGCGAAAGCUAGGGGGAGCGAACAGG
rnacentral:rRNA from 1 species